AACGAACGCUGGCGGCAGGCUUAACACAUGCAAGUCGAACGCCCCGCAAGGGGAGUGGCAGACGGGUGAGUAACGCGUGGGAAUCUACCUAGUUCUACGGAACAACAGAGGGAAACUUCUGCUAAUACCGUAUACGCCCUAAGGGGGAAAGAGUUAUCGGAAUUAGAUGAGCCCGCGUAAGAUUAGCUAGUUGGUGGGGU
rnacentral:rRNA from 1 species